rnacentral:rRNA from 1 species
CGCUCAGGACGAACGCUGGCGGCGUGCCUAAUACAUGCAAGUCGAGCGGACAGAUGGGAGCUUGCUCCCUGAAGUCAGCGGCGGACGGGUGAGUAACACGUGGGCAACCUGCCUGUAAGACUGGGAUAACUCCGGGAAACCGGGGCUAAUACCGGAUAAUUCUUUCCCUCACAUGAGGGAAAGCUGAAAGAUGGUUUCGGCUAUCACUUACAGAUGGGCCCGCGGCGCAUUAGCUAGUUGGUGAGGUAACGGCUCACCAAGGCAACGAUGCGUAGCCGACCUGAGAGGGUGAUCGGCCACACUGGGACUGAGACACGGCCCAGACUCCUACGGGAGGCAGCAGUAGGGAAUCUUCCGCAAUGGACGAAAGUCUGACGGAGCAACGCCGCGUGAGUGAUGAAGGUUUUCGGAUCGUAAAACUCUGUUGUUAGGGAAGAACAAGUACCGGAGUAACUGCCGGUACCUUGACGGUACCU